rnacentral:sRNA from 1 species
UUUUUAUUUUCAGUUUUAUUGUACAGUUUUCUCGUACAGCUAUUUUUACAGCUUUGCAUUAUUUCAAAAAAUUUGAGAGUUAAAAAUUUUGUACAGCUUUGUGUUACAUGUUAGACAUUUAGUAUACAUAGACAAGGAGAGGUAGAUUAUAGUUAAGUUUGGUAUAUUACUUAUAUCCUUCUGCUGUUAUAAUUCUAAAAUU